GACGAACGCUGGCGGCGUGCCUAAUACAUGCAAGUAGAACGCACAGUUUAUACCGUAGCUUGCUACACCAUAGACUGUGAGUUGCGAACGGGUGAGUAACGCGUAGGUAACCUGCCUGGUAGCGGGGGAUAACUAUUGGAAACGAUAGCUAAUACCGCAUAAUAUUAAUUAUUGCAUGAUAAUUGAUUGAAAGAUGCAACUGCAUCACUACCAGAUGGACCUGCGUUGUAUUAGCUAGUAGGUGAGGUAACGGCUCACCUAGGCGACGAUACAUAGCCGACCUGAGAGGGUGAUCGGCCACACUGGGACUGGGACACGGCCCAGACUCCUACGGGAGGCAGCAGUAGGGAAUCUUCGGCAAUGGACGAAAGUCUGACCGAGCAACGCCGCGUGAGUGAAGAAGGUUGUCGGAUCGUAAAGCUCUGUUGUAAGAGAAGAACGGGUGUGAGAGUGGAAAGUUCACACUGUGACGGUAUCUUACCAGAAAGGGACGGCUAACUACGUG
rnacentral:rRNA from 1 species